GUGGGGAAUUUUGGACAAUGGGCGCAAGCCUGAUCCAGCAAUGCCGCGUGCAGGAAGAAGGCCUUCGGGUUGUAAACUGCUUUUGUACGGAACGAAACGGUCCGGGUUAAUACCCUGGGCUAAUGACGGUACCGUAAGAAUAAGUACCGGCUAACUACGUGCCAGCAGCCGCGGUAAUACGUAGGGUGCAAGCGUUAAUCGGAAUUACUGGGCGUAAAGCGUGCGCAGGCGGUUUUGUAAGACAGGCGUGAAAUCCCCGGGCUCAACCUGGGAAUUGCGCUUGUGACUGAAAGGCUGGAGUGCGGCAGAGGGGGAUGGAAUUCCGCGUGUAGCAGUGAAAUGCGUAGAUAUGCGGAGGAACACCGAUGGCGAAGGCAAUCCCCUGGGCCUGCACUGACGCUCAUGCACGAAAGCGUGGGGAGCAAACAGGAUUAGAAACCCCGGUAGUCC
rnacentral:rRNA from 1 species